rnacentral:rRNA from 1 species
CGCGUGGGUAACCUGCCUCACACUGGGGGACAACAGUUAGAAAUGACUGCUAAUACCGCAUAAGCGCACAGGACCGCAUGGUCCGGUGUGAAAAACUCCGGUGGUGUGAGAUGGACCCGCGUUUGAUUAGCUAGUUGGUGGGGUAACGGCCUACCAAGGCGACGAUCAAUAGCCGACCUGAGAGGGUGACCGGCCACAUUGGGACUGAGACACGGCCCAA